rnacentral:tRNA from 2 species
GGUGCCAUAGCUCAGUUGGAUAGAGCAACGGAUUUCUAAUCCGUUGGUCGGGGGUUCGAGUCCCUCUGGCACUA